rnacentral:rRNA from 1 species
GCCAGCAGCUAUAUCAUCCUGCAACUCACAAAGGAAAACCCACUAAGCAGGUGUGAGCCUGGCCAGUACCUGGAUGGGAGACUCCUGGGAAAAACUGAGGUUGCUGCUGGAA